UGAAAACAACCAAACAGCAAGGAAAACACAAUUCAAGCCUCUCAUUUCUCACUACCGAAAACUAGCUAGUUUUACCGAAAUUGAAGUUUUGACCUUCUAACCUCGUUUUUAUCCUCAAUUUCGAUUUCAAACAUCCUAAAUAUCAUUUAAUUUCAUAUCUAAACUGUAAUAACCCAAAUUUGCCCGGCCCAAAUAAUAAACACAAAUUUAAAAAAAAUAAAAAUUAAAAGUCCAUUUUUAAGGUCCAUUUACAUCUCGCCCAAUAACAACUAACUUAUUUAGCCCAAAACCCAACUACAAAAUAACCCCAAAACUGCCCAAAGUUAACC
rnacentral:lncRNA from 1 species